AGCGAACGCUGGCGGCAGGCCUAACACAUGCAAGUCGAACGAACUCUUCGGAGUUAGUGGCGGACGGGUGAGUAACACGUGGGAACGUGCCUUUUGGUUCGGAAGAACUCAGGGAAACUUGUGCUAAUACCGACUGUGCCCUUCGGGGGAAAGAUUUAUCGCCAUUAGAGCGGCCCGCGUCUGAUUAGCUAGUUGGUGAGGUAACGGCUCACCAAGGCGACGAUCAGUAGCUGGUCUGAGAGGAUGACCAGCCACACUGGGACUGAGACACGGCCCAGACUCCUACGGGAGGCAGCAGUGGGGAAUCUUGCGCAAUGGGCGAAAGCCUGACGCAGCCAUGCCGCGUGAAUGAUGAAGGUCUUAGGAUUGUAAAAUUCUUUCACCGGGGACGAUAAUGACGGUACCCGGAGAAGAAGCCCCGGCUAACUUCGUG
rnacentral:rRNA from 1 species